UGGGGAAUUUUGGACAAUGGGCGAAAGCCUGAUCCAGCAAUGCCGCGUGUGUGAAGAAGGCCUUCGGGUUGUAAAGCACUUUUGUCCGGAAAGAAAUCCUUGGCUCUAAUACAGUCGGGGGAUGACGGUACCGGAAGAAUAAGCACCGGCUAACUACGUGCCAGCAGCCGCGGUAAUACGUAGGGUGCAAGCGUUAAUCGGAAUUACUGGGCGUAAAGCGUGCGCAGGCGGUUUGCUAAGACCGAUGUGAAAUCCCCGGGCUCAACCUGGGAACUGCAUUGGUGACUGGCAGGCUAGAGUAUGGCAGAGGGGGGUAGAAUUCCACGUGUAGCAGUGAAAUGCGUAGAGAUGUGGAGGAAUACCGAUGGCGAAGGCAGCCCCCUGGGCCAAUACUGACGCUCAUGCACGAAAGCGUGGGGAGCAAACAGGAUUAGAUACCCUGGUAGUCCACGCCCUAAACGAUGUCAACUAGUUGUUGGGGAUUCAUUUCCUAGUAACGUAGCUAACGCGUGAAGUUGACCGCCUGGGGAGUACGUCGCAAGAUUAAAACUCAAAGGAAUUGACGGGG
rnacentral:rRNA from 1 species